CUUCGCCCCCGGGCCUUUCAGUGGCGCGGGCCGAGUGGCCAUGGCGCUCGGGUGCGCGCAGUGCACGCGGUGAGCUGGAGACGCAGGCAUUGCGCGGCCCACCGGCUGAGCCCGCUCUCCCUGCGAGGGGGGCGCAGCUCGGUGGAGAGGGUGGCCCGGAGGACCGGGAACCGGGCUGGAGGCGCGCGGGGCUCACACCGCGGGGUCCGCGGGGAGCCGGGCCUCGGGCUGCAGGUGCAGGCUUGUGGCGGUGAGGCGACUGGAGCGGCACGGGAGCCCGCCCGUUUCGGGGAGAGCCCGGGGCGAUCGCGGGGGGAGGCCGGCCUGGCGUCCGGGAGCCCGGCGUGCUAGGGCCCGGUAGGCGGGGCGGGCCUCGCACUCGGUUGCUCGCUGCGGCGCCGGAGGAACGGGUCUAUGGGGGUGUGGGUGAGGCCAGAAGCCGGGUCGAAGAGGGGGAGGGGGUGCGAAGAGAUGGCGGUGUGUAGACAGGUGACCCGGUGGGUCGGUGACGCAGGAGGAGACUGCGCUUGGUGGCGGGAUCACUUAGUUGACAACAUCUAAAAAUUAGGAGGUGCGGCAGGGCGCGGUGGCUCACGCCUGUAAUCCUAGAACUUUGGGAGGUCGUGGCGGGUGGACUACCUGAGGUGAGGAGUUCGAGACCAGCCUGGCUAACCUGGUGAAACCCCGUCUCUAUUAAAAAUACGAAGCAAUGAGCUGGGCGUGGUGGCGGGCGCCUGUAAUCCCAGCUACUCGGGAGGCUGAGGCAGGAGAAUCACUUAAACCUGGGAGGCGGAGGUUGCAGUGAGCCGGGAUUGCGCCAUUGCACUCCAGCCUGGGUGACAGAGUGAGACUCUCUCAAAAAAAAAAAAAAAAAAAAAAAAAAAAAAAAAAAAAAAAAGGGAGGUGCUCAGUCAAGCCUCUGAGAGGAGUGGGGGGCGGGGCGAGGAGUCUCUUGCUCAGAGCCCCCUAGGGACUGGGACCCGUUGACUCUGAGCUGCUUUUGAGGCUGGAUCAGGUACCAGCGGCCUGGGGGUCGUACAGGAUGGGAGAGGCCGGGGCUUGGGAUGUUGCCAGAUCUACGUUGAAAAGUGAAGCAGGAAGAGAGGCACUGAGGCUGGGCACAUGGGGAAAACCGUGGAGAGCCGGCCUUUGGGGACUAGAAGAGUGGGAACAAUGGUUGACAAAUGGGUUAUCACCGGAGUGGGACUGGUGACUUCAUUAGAAGAGGAAGGAAGACCUGAGCUGGCCUGUGAAUAUGCUCCGCCCCCUGGCCAUGUGACACCUGCGCCACCCUCAGGACUCUGCAGAGUCCCCAGCAGCAAGAAGGCCCUCACCAGGUGCAGCCCCUCAACCUUGGACUUCUCAGCCCCCAGGGCUGUAACAAAUAAAUUCUUUUUUAAAGUAAAUUACCCAGUUUCAGGUAUUCUGUUAUAAGCAACAGAAUAAGAAACAGACUAAGACAAGAGCACAGCGGGGUGGAGGAGCUAGGGGUGCCUGGGGCAUUGGGGACCUGUCCGGAGGCCAGCUGUGUAUGCAGCCACAGUGCCAACGGGUUUCUGUGAUCCUGAUAUCCCCCACCCUUGACUGGCCUGGAUUCCAAUCCGACUCUUGUCAGCUGUGCUCCUCUGGGCAAGGGAUUCACUUCUGUCUGCCUUGGUUCUGUAGGAAGUGGCAUGGAGAAGGACAGAAGCAGGAAGAGCUGGGUGCGGCCCAUGCAGCAGGGAUGGUGUAGGUCCUUAUGCUGACUGCCUCUGUCCCCUCAACACUUUGCCUGCCCUCCCCCCAUUGCACUAACCCACAUCUUCCCUUCUCCCCUACAAGGACCCAGAGAUGUGCUAGAGGGUGUAAGUCGGGGCUGUCCCAGCUGUGUGUUGUAGAAAACUAAACUGCACUUAAACCAAUGGGGACGUUUACUGGGAGGUGCCUGUAACAUCAUACCCAGGGGAGGUAGGGGCAGAGCUGGUCUGGAAACUCUAGGGCCAUGGAGGCCACUGCAGGCCCAAAUGGAGUUUGAAAACCCACAACAAUGGACUCUGAUGGUCCCCCAGACAGGGCUUCCAUUCUGGAACUAGUCAGCCAUGCUGGGCAGACAGGCUCAUGUGAGGACAUGGCAGGGAAGGGCAGAAUUGGGAAAGGCAGAAGUCUGGAAGUUUCUUCCAUGGUGAUGAUUAGAAUGAGGGCAUCUGAGCUGGGGCGCAGCUGAGGGUGUGGCACUGUAUGGAAACAGGGUUAUUUGGGGGCUGUAUAACUGAAUGCUGAACCCAGUGGCCCUUAGCCCUCCUCCUCCGGGAAUCCCCCAGAGCACCAGCAGCUGGGACUGUCCUCAGGCAGGGAGCCAGCAAGCUGUUCUCCAGAAGUCUGACCAGCCCUGAAGGGAAGACCUGAGGUAUGAACAUUAUGACACCCCCACCCCCACCAGAUUUCCCAGCAGUGAAUCCUGCAUCAACCAGCCCUACCAUGCCUUAGACCUUCCAGUCAGCCCCCCUUGAAUCUGAACAGACAGCUCCAUGUCAUAUGGCUAAGAAAAGUAAGACAAAAAACUGCAUCUUGAAAGAAACAGACUCUGUGGAGAAGGAAAAUUCAAAAAAUAAAAAUAAAACUACUGCUAGCUUCAGAGAGAAUGAAAAAAUAUUGCAUCCUUCAAACAAGAACCAGCCAUUUAAAAAUUAUGCAGCACAGGUGUAUGCAACAUGGCCUUGCUCUGUCAGCUGAGAUGGCCUAGAAGCAAUGACAUCUCAGCAGUGGCUGACACACCCAGAGCCCAGAUCUUGUUCUCUAAUGUCAUUCGCCAUAAAAGGAACCAGGGAUCCCUGGAGAAAUGGUUGAUUCUAGGGCUGGGACAGGGGAUGGACAAGACGAGCCUGGAGAAUAUUGUUGUGCAGGUAAGGAAGUACUUACAACACACACACACACACACACACACACACAAGGAAGUACAACACACACGUAAGAAAGUACACACACGGAAGUACUUACCCCCCCCCCCACACACACACGGAAGUACUUACCACACACACACACACACACACACACAAGGAAGUACAACACACACGUAAGGAAGUACACACACGGAAGUACCCCCCCACACACACACACGGAAGUACUUACCACACACACACACACACACACACACACAGAUGGGGCUAUGUCAAAGAGACACAAGAGCCAACUGAAAGAGCCCCCAGUGGCUGUUGCUGGAACCAUUGGAACAACAAACUAACAUAGUAUUGGGCAUGACUCAAAAUAUAAAAUAAAUAUCUAUGGUUCAUUCUAAUAGAAAUAAUAAAUGGGGAAGAAUAGAAAAGUUUGUGGCCGGGCACAGUGGCUCGCACCUGUAAUCCCAGCACUUUCGGAGGGCGAGGUGGGCGGAUCACGAGGUCAGGAGAUCGAGGCCAUCCUGGCUAACACGGUGAAACCCCA
rnacentral:lncRNA from 1 species